rnacentral:rRNA from 1 species
GUGCCUAACACAUGCAAGUCGAGCGAGAAAGGGGGGGCAACUCCCUGAGUAAAGCGGCGCACGGGUGAGUAACACGUGGGUAAUCUGCCCUGGAGUGGGGAAAAACAUCGGGAAACCGGUGCUAAUACCGCAUACGAUCACGAUGUCUGCGGAUGUUGUGAUGAAAGGAGCAAUUCGCUCCAGGAGGAGCCCGCGGCUGAUUAGCUAGUUGGUGAGGUAACGGCUCACCAAGGCUACGAUCAGUAUCCGGUCUGAGAGGACGGUCGGACACACUGGAACUGAGACACGGUCCAG